AGGGCAAGUCUGGUGCCAGCAGCCGCGGUAAUUCCAGCUCCAAUAGCGUAUAUUAAAGUUGUUGCAGUUAAAAAGCUCGUAGUUGAAUUUCGGGGUUAGUAGGUUGGUCAUGCCUCAGGUAUGUACUGAUCUCACUGAUUCCUCCUUCCUGAUGAACCGUAAUGCCAUUAAUUUGGUGUUGCGGGGAAACUGGACUGUUACUUCGAAAAAAUUAGAGUGUUUAAAGCAGGCUAACGCUUGAAUACAUUAGCAUGGAAUAAUGAAAUAGGACGUUCGAUCCUAUUUUGUUGGUUUCUAGGAUUGACGUAAUGAUUAAUAGGGAUAGUUGGGGGCAUUAGUAUUCAAUUGUCAGAGGUGAAAUUCUUGGAUUUAUUGAAGACUAACUACUGCGAAAGCAUUUGCCAAGGAUGUUUUCAUUAAUCAAGAACGAAAGUUAGGGGAUCGAAGACGAUCAGAUACCGUCGUAGUCUUAACCAUAAACUAUGCCGACUAGGGAUCGGAUGAUGUUAAUUUUUUAAUGACUCAUUCGGCGCCUUACGGGAA
rnacentral:rRNA from 1 species